rnacentral:pre_miRNA from 1 species
UCAAAGUUAGUUCAUAUUUGUAUGGAUCGUUUGCGUGCGUUUGCCGCUAGGGGCGCUGUUCCAACUGCAUACAAAAUUGGCUUA